rnacentral:rRNA from 2 species
UUUCCGUAGGUGAACCUGCGGAAGGAUCAUUGCCGAU